GGAGGUGGUUCCAGUUAUGGAUUAUUUGUUUGAUCCUGCGUGAGGUUUCUAUCUGACUUCUGUUUCCCCCACUUUGCAGAUAACACCUCUGCAUGAAAGAGCUGCUUAAGCCAAAGGUACCAGCCAAGGAGCCUGUAGGUGGAGGUCAGAGGCCCUGCUUGAAGUCCUGCAUGGGAGAAGCAGCUUCCCCCACAUUUUGAGGAUGUGUGUUUUCUUCUUGAACUUCUUUAAAACAUUUUCUGUUUGUUUUUGUACUUUUGUUAUAACUGCUUCUCAGUAAGCUGAGUGUACUAUGUAAAGGUCCUAUAUAAAUAAGUUGGUAGUGGUGGUGAUGAUGACAACAAUUAUAUUGUUAUAUAGUUGUUUUUUAUUCUUCCAGAAGUCAAAUCCUCUGAAGAUGGACAUUGUAGCUAUGUCCAGAAGCUUAGGUUCUCAGAAGAACUAUGGAACACGGCACAGCAGCCCAAAAACUACUACAGAUGAGCCUGAACCUGGCUGUGAAAGCCUACAUUCUACCAUAUUCACCAAAAGUUGUGUUGCCCCACAGGGUGAUUUUAGGAGGUUGGAAUCCAGCUCUAUGUAAGAGCAAAGGGAGAAGGAGGAACAGAUGGACUGCAGCAGCAGUAGCAGCUAUAUAGAAAGUAGGUUAAUGACUUGCUUGGCUGGCUCUCCUGCGACACUGGAUCUUAAGGGUACCACAAACCCAUCCCAGAUAGAAUCUGGCAGCACCUCUGCUGAAAGAAAGUUACCUUUGUCUAAUUCUAUGCCUUAAUGCAAAUGUGUGAAUCCGAGCCUAGGAGGAAAGCGUGAUGUCUUGGGAUAAGGUUUUCUUAAUGCUUCUUUCAGCCUGCAGCUGCUGGGAGACCAGAAUUUUAUGGACUGGAAAAGCAUGCUUGGGGCUGAUUAGCAGAACUGAAGGAUGCUAAGCUAGAAAAAAGCAAUUAGAGAAAGCUUUGCUGCCCUUGUGCAUAUGUGCACCACUGUUCA
rnacentral:lncRNA from 1 species